rfam:Streptomyces uncialis strain DCA2648 scaffold6, whole genome shotgun sequence.
GACGGACGAACCUCUGGUGUGCCAGUUGUCCUGCCAAGGGCAUGGCUGGUUGGCUACGUUCGGGAGGGAUAACCGCUGAAAGCAUCUAAGCGGGAAGCCUGCUUCGAGAUGAGGACUCCCACCCACUUGAUGGGGUAAGGCUCCCAGUAGACGACUGGGUUGAUAGGCCAGAUAUGGAAGCCGGGUGACCGGUGGAGUUGACUGGUACUAAUAGGCCGAGGGCUUGUCCUC